GAUCCUGGCUCAGGAUGAACGCUAGCUACAGGCUUAACACAUGCAAGUCGAGGGGCAGCAUGAACUUAGCUUGCUAAGUUUGAUGGCGACCGGCGCACGGGUGAGUAACACGUAUCCAACCUUCCGUUUACUCAGGGAUAGCCUUUCGAAAGAAAGAUUAAUACCUGAUAGUAUGGUGAGAUUGCAUGAUAACACCAUUAAAGAUUUAUUGGUAAACGAUGGGGAUGCGUUCCAUUAGGUAGUAGGCGGGGUAACGGCCCACCUAGCCUGCGAUGGAUAGGGGUUCUGAGAGGAAGGUCCCCCACAUUGGAACUGAGACACGGUCCAAACUCCUACGGGAGGCAGCAGUGAGGAAUAUUGGUCAAUGGACGAGAGUCUGAACCAGCCAAGUAGCGUGAAGGAUGACUGCCCUAUGGGUUGUAAACUUCUUUUAUACGGGAAUAAAGUGAGGCACGUGUGCCUUUUUGUAUGUACCGUAUGAAUAAGGAUCGGCUAACUCCGUG
rnacentral:rRNA from 1 species